ACUCCCUCACACUCUCCUCUACCUCUCCCCCAUGAAAAUGCUGCUGCCCCUUGCUCCCAUGGCCGGCCAUGACCAUGGAAGGCACUCCAAGAUGAAGCUCCCUCCUCCCUCAAGCUCCUCCUCACCAUGAGAGCCUCCCUCUCCUUCUUCUCCCAAACCCUAGAUGGUUUUCUCUCCUCUUCCUCUUCCUCCAUUUCUAAGAUUGGAUCUUGAUGCAGGUGCAUGUUGGUCCAAGCAUGGAGAAGCUUGAGCUAUCCUCAGAUCUGAAGUUCUUGAGCAAAAUCCAAAUCGAGUGAUUCAAAGUUCCGCAGAUAGAUACGGAAAAUAUCUACAACUUGGCGUUGGUCUCAUCCUCAAAUUCGUUACGGAUUGUCCGUGGUGAAAGCCCUCUUCAAUACCUUCAUUUUGGCAGUGGUUUCACUUCGAUUGACCUCCUGAAACUGAAAUGGUUCACAGGGGAUGUUUGGUUUAUACCAUGGUGAUAACCGAGAGAGGCAAUUGCUAAGUUGUGAUACUCUCAUACCUUUACUAGACGCGAGCAAUUCCGGAGAAGAAGAAGAAGUGGAAUUGGACAAGGAUUUUAUUUAUAUUGUUGGGAUUCUUAUUUUGAUAGAGUUGAAGAAGUACAGGGACAAAUAAGCCAAG